rnacentral:rRNA from 1 species
UACAGAGGCCUCAAGCGUUGUUCGGAAUUACUGGGCGUAAAGGGAAUGUAGGUGGUCAUAUAAGUCAGAUGUGAAAGCCCUGGGCUUAACCCGGGAACUGCAUUUGAUACUGCUUGGCUUGAGUGCGAGAGAGGAAAGCGGAAUUCCUGGUGUAGGAGUGAAAUCCGUAGAUAUCAGGAGGAAUACCGAUGGUGAAGACAGCUUUCUGGCUCGUAACUGACACUGAGAUUCGAAAGCAUGGGUAGCAAACAGG